rnacentral:RNase_P_RNA from 1 species
CCAGAGGGCCGGGCGGCCGCGGCUCGCGCUUGCGCGGGGCGAGGAAAGUCCGGGCUCCAUGGAACGGCGGUGCCGGGUAACGCCCGGCGGAGGCGACUCCAGGGAAAGUGCCACAGAAAGGACACCACCGCAUUUCGAUGCGGCCAGGUCGAAAGGGUGGGGUAAGAGCCCACCGCGCUUCCGGUAACGGCGGCGGCACGGCAAACCCCACCGGGAGCAAGACCGAAUAGGGGCGGCAUAUGGGCUUCGUUCCGGCCCCGCCGCCCGGGUUGGUUGCUUGAGGCGGCGCGCGAGCGUCGUCCUAGAGGAAUGGCCGCUCAGUCCCGCAAGGGACGGACAGAACCCGGCUUACAGGCCCUCUGGCAUU